rnacentral:rRNA from 1 species
GCGGCAAAAGCUCAAAUUUGAAAUCUGGUACCUUCGGUGCCCGAGUUGUAAUUUGGAGAGGGCAACUUUGGGGCCGUUCCUUGUCUAUGUUCCUUGGAACAGGACGUCAUAGAGGGUGAGAAUCCCGUGUGGCGAGGAGUGCGGUUCUUUGUAAAGUGCCUUCGAAGAGUCGAGUUGUUUGGGAAUGCAGCUCUAAGUGGGUGGUAAAUUCCAUCUAAAGCUAAAUAUUGGCGAGAGACCGAUAGCGAACAAGUACAGUGAUGGAAAGAUGAAAAGAACUUUGAAAAGAGAGUGAAAAAGUACGUGAAAUUGUUGAAAGGGAAGGGCAUUUGAUCAGACAUGGUGUUUUGUGCCCUCUGCUCCUUGUGGGUAGGGGAAUCUCGCAUUUCACUGGGCCAGCAUCAGUUUUGGUGGCAGGAUAAAUCCAUAGGAAUGUAGCUUGCCUCGGUAAGUAUUAUAGCCUGUG